rnacentral:rRNA from 1 species
AUUGAACGCUGGCGGCAGGCCUAACACAUGCAAGUCGAACGAGUGGCGGACGGGUGAGUAAUGUCUGGGAAACUGCCCGAUGGAGGGGGAUAACUACUGGAAACGGUAGCUAAUACCGCAUACCAUCGGAUGUGCCCAGAUGGGAUUAGCUUGUAGGUGAGGUAACGGCUCACCUAGGCGACGAUCCCUAGCUGGUCUGAGAGGAUGACCAGCCAAACUGGAACUGAGACACGGUCCAGACUCCUAAGGGAGGCAGCAGUGGGGAAGAUUGCAAAAUGGGCGCAAGCCUGAUGCAGCCAUGCCGCGUGUGUGAAGAAGGUCUUCGGAUUGUAAAGUACUUUACGUGGGGAGGCGUUACCAACAGAAUAAGCACCGGCUAACUUCGUGCCAGCAGCCGCGGUAAUAC